rnacentral:rRNA from 1 species
GGGUUCGAUCCUGGCUCAGGAUGAACGCUGGCGAUAUGCUUCACACAUUCAAGUCAAAUAGGAAACAAGAGAAAUGAUGUUUCCAGUUGUUGAUGGGUGAGUAAGGCAAUCGAACCUACCUUUGGGAGGGGAAAAACAGCUGGAAAUGGCUUCUUAUACCCCAUAGGCUUGGGAGAAAAAUAAGGAAUCCGCAGAAGAGAGGAUCACAUCUGAUUAGCUAGUUGGGGAGGCAAUUUCUUACCAAGGCAACCAUUAGUAGCUGGUCUGAGAGAAUGAUCAGUCACACAAGGACUAAGACAUAGCCCAGACUCCUAUAGGAGGUAGCAGUGGGGAAUAUUUUGCAAAAGCCUGACGGAGCAAUGCUGUGUGAAGGAGAAGGCCCACAGAUCAUGAACUUCUUUUCCUAGAGAAAAAGCAAUAACGAUACUUGGGGAAUAAGAAUCACUUAGAUGUGUGCCAGUAGCUAUGAUAAUAUAGAGGAUGCAAGCGUUAUUAGGAAUGAUUAGGCAUAAAGUGUCUGUAGGUGGAUUUUUAAGUCUGUCGUCAAAUCCCAGGGCUCAACCUUUGACAGGCAGUGGAAACUACCAAGAUGGAGUAUGGUAGGUGAAGUAGGAAUUUUUGGUGGAGCGAUGAAAUGCAUAGAGAUUUGAAAAAACACUAAUGGUGAAAGUACUCUGCUGGGAUGACACUGACACAUAGAGAUAAAAUCUAGGGUAGCGAAUAUGAUUAGAUACACUAGUAGUCUUAGCCCUAAAUAAUAAAUACUAGGAGCUGUGUGUAUCAACCAGCACAGUCUUGUAGCUAACUCAUUAAUCAUCCCGCUUGGGGAAUACAUUCGCAAUAAUGAAACUCAAAGGAAUUGACGGAGGCCUACACAAGCGGCGGAGCAUGUGGUUCAAUUUGAUGCAAAGCAAAGAACCUUAUGAAGGCUUCACAUGUUGCAAAUCCUCUUGAAAGAGAGGGGUACCUUCAAGAAUGCAGACACAGGAAGUGCAUAGCUAUCGUCAGCUUGUGUCGUAACGCAUUGUGUUAAUUCCCUCAAAGGACAAAACCCUCGUGUUUAGUUUCCAUUAUUAUAUUUAGAACCCUGAACAAGCUUUUGAUAACAAGAUGGAGGAAGGUGAGGAUGACGUCAAGUCAUCAAGCCCCUUAUUCCCUGGGCAACACACGUGCUACAAUGGGACAAAGGGUCACGAUCUUCUGAGGGUGAGCUUACCCCAAAAAACCAUUCUGUGUUUGGAUUACGGCUGCAACUCGCCUGCAUGAAGCCAUAACCACUAGUAAUCGCCGGUUAGCCAUACAUAAUUACCUAACAUUACUUACAGUACCUAACAUUACUAACAGUACCUGACAUGACAGACUAGUAGUUGAUUCCAUGCAACUUAGGUCUGCCAUAGAAAAUAACCUAAGUUAGUAUGGAUCUCUUCCACUU